AUCUACACGUCAUUAAGUAGUUACAGUGAAAGACCCCCGGAGUGGGGAGACCCUCACUCAAGUCUCGGGAUGACGAGACCCCCCAACAACUCACACAAGACU
rnacentral:pre_miRNA from 14 species